rnacentral:rRNA from 1 species
UACGUAGGGGGCUAGCGUUGUCCGGAAUCAUUGGGCGUAAAGAGCGUGUAGGCGGUCCGGUAAGUCCGCUGUGAAAGUCGGGGGCUCAACCCUCGGAUGCCGGUGGAUACUGUCGGGCUCGAGUACGGAAGAGGCGAGUGGAAUUCCUGGUGUAGCGGUGAAAUGCGCAGAUAUCAGGAGGAACACCAAUUGCGAAGGCAGCUCGCUGGGACGUAACUGACGCUGAGACGCGAAAGCGUGGGGAGCAAACAGG